GCUCAGAGCGAACGCUGGCGGCAGGCUUAACACAUGCAAGUCGAGCGGGCCCUUCGGGGUCAGCGGCAGACGGGUGAGUAACGCGUGGGAACGUGCCCUUCGGUUCGGAAUAACUCAGGGAAACUUGAGCUAAUACCGGAUACGCCCUUUUGGGGAAAGGCUUGACUGCCGAAGGAUCGGCCCGCGUCUGAUUAGCUAGUUGGUGAGGUUAUGGCUCACCAAGGCGACGAUCAGUAGCUGGUCUGAGAGGAUGAUCAGCCACACUGGGACUGAGACACGGCCCAGACUCCUACGGGAGGCAGCAGUGGGGAAUAUUGGACAAUGGGGGCAACCCUGAUCCAGCCAUGCCGCGUGAGUGAUGACGGCCUUAGGGUUGUAAAGCUCUUUUCUCCGGGACGAUAAUGACGGUACCGGAGGAAUAAGCCCCGGCUAACUUCGUGCCAGCAGCCGCGGUAAUACGAAGGGGGCUAGCGUUGCUCGGAAUCACUGGGCGUAAAGGGCGCGUANGCGGCUGAUUUACUCGAGGGUGAAAGCCCGUGGCUCAACCACGGAAUGGCCUUCGAUACUGGUUGGCUUGUCGACGGAAGAGGACACCGGAACUGGCAGUGUAAAGGUGAAAUUC
rnacentral:rRNA from 1 species